rnacentral:rRNA from 1 species
GGUUAAGCGACUAAGCGUACACGGUGGAUGCCUAGGCAAUCAGAGGCGAUGAAGGACGUGCUAAUCUGCGAAAAGCGUCGGUAAGGUGAUAUGAACCGCUAUAGCCGACGAUGUCCGAAUGGGGAAACCCAGUGCAAUUCGUUGCACUAUCGUUUGAUGAAUCCAUAGUCAAACGAGGCGAACCGAGGGAACUGAAACAUCUCAGUACCUCGAGGAAAAGAAAUCAACCGAGAUUCCCCUAGUAGCGGCGAGCGAACGGGGAGCAGCCCAGAGUCUUAAUCAGCAUCAGCAUCAGGAGAACGGUCUGGAAAGUCCGGCAGUAAAGGGUGAUAGCCCCGUAUCCGAAGGUGUUGGUGUUGUGAACUCGACGAGUAGGGCGGGACACGUGUUAUCCUGUCUGAAUAUGGGGGGACCAUCCUCCAAGGCUAAAUACUCCUGAUUGACCGAUAGUGAACCAGUACCGUGAGGGAAAGGCGAAAAGAACCCCGGCGAGGGGAGUGAAAUAGAACCUGAAACCGUGUACGUACAAGCAGUGGGAGCACCUUUUAGGUGUGACUGCGUACCUUUUGUAUAAUGGGUCAGCGACUUAUAUUCUGUAGCAAGGUUAACCGUAUAGGGGAGCCGUAGGGAAACCGAGUCUUAACUGGGCGAUUAAGUUGCAGGGUAUAGACCCGAAACCCGGUGAUCUAGCCAUGGGCAGGUUGAAGGUUGGGUAACACUAACUGGAGGACCGAACCGACUAAUGUUGAAAAAUUAGCGGAUGACUUGUGGCUGGGGGUGAAAGGCCAAUCAAACCGGGAGAUAGCUGGUUCUCCCCGAAAGCUAUUUAGGUAGCGCCUCGUGAACUCAUCUUCGGGGGUAGAGCACUGUUUCGGCUAGGGGGUCAUCCCGACUUACCAACCCGAUGCAAACUACGAAUACCGAAGAAUGUUAUCACGGGAGACACACGGCGGGUGCUAACGUUCGUCGUGAAGAGGGAAACAACCCAGACCGCCAGCUAAGGUCCCAAAGUCAUGGUUAAGUGGGAAACGAAGUGGGAAGGCUCAGACAGCCAGGAUGUUGGCUUAGAAGCAGCCAUCAUUUAAAGAAAGCGUAAUAGCUCACUGGUCGAGUCGGCCUGCGCGGAAGAUGUAACGGGGCUAAACCAUGCACCGAAGCUGCGGCAGCGACAUUUAGAUGUUGUUGGGUAGGGGAGCGUUCUGUAAGCCUGUGAAGGUGUGCUGCGAGGCAUGCUGGAGGUAUCAGAAGUGCGAAUGCUGACAUAAGUAACGAUAAUGCGGGUGAAAAACCCGCACGCCGGAAGACCAAGGGUUCCUGUCCAACGUUAAUCGGGGCAGGGUGAGUCGACCCCUAAGGCGAGGCAGAAAUGCGUAGUCGAUGGGAAACAGGUUAAUAUUCCUGUACUGGUGAUAAUUGCGAUGGGGGGACGGAGAAGGCUAAGCUGGCCGGGCGACGGUUGUCCCGGUUUAAGGAUGUAGGCAGGUGAAUUAGGCAAAUCCGGUUCACUAUAUGCUGAGGUCUGAUGACGAGUCACUACGGUGGCGAAGUAGCUCAUGCCCCGCUUCCAGGAAAAGCCUCUAAGCUCUAGAUUAUCAUUAAUCGUACCCCAAACCGACACAGGUGGUCAGGUAGAGAAUACUCAGGCGCUUGAGAGAACUCGGGUGAAGGAACUAGGCAAAAUGGUGCCGUAACUUCGGGAGAAGGCACGCUGGCGCUAGGUGAAGUCCCUCGCGGAUGGAGCUGAAGCCAGUCGCAGAUACCAGCUGGCUGCAACUGUUUAUUAAAAACACAGCACUGUGCAAACACGAAAGUGGACGUAUACGGUGUGACGCCUGCCCGGUGCUGGAAGGUUAAUUGAUGGGGUUAUCCGUAAGGAGAAGCUCUUGAUCGAAGCCCCAGUAAACGGCGGCCGUAACUAUAACGGUCCUAAGGUAGCGAAAUUCCUUGUCGGGUAAGUUCCGACCUGCACGAAUGGCGUAAUGAUGGCCAGGCUGUCUCCACCCGAGACUCAGUGAAAUUGAACUCGCUGUGAAGAUGCAGUGUACCCGCGGCAAGACGGAAAGACCCCGUGAACCUUUACUAUAGCUUGACACUGAACAUUGAGCCUUGAUGUGUAGGAUAGGUGGGAGGCUUUGAAGUGUGGACGCCAGUCUGCAUGGAGCCAACCUUGAAAUACCACCCUUUAAUGUUUGAUGUUCUAACGUGGCCCCAUCAUCUGGGGUGCGGACAGUGUCUGGUGGGUAGUUUGACUGGGGCGGUCUCCUCCCAAAGAGUAACGGAGGAGCACGAAGGUUGGCUAAGCAUGGUCGGACAUCAUGCGGUUAGUGCAAAGGCAUAAGCCAGCUUGACUGCGAGAGUGACGGCUCGAGCAGGUACGAAAGUAGGUCUUAGUGAUCCGGUGGUUCUGAAUGGAAGGGCCAUCGCUCAACGGAUAAAAGGUACUCCGGGGAUAACAGGCUGAUACCGCCCAAGAGUUCAUAUCGACGGCGGUGUUUGGCACCUCGAUGUCGGCUCAUCACAUCCUGGGGCUGAAGUAGGUCCCAAGGGUAUGGCUGUUCGCCAUUUAAAGUGGUACGCGAGCUGGGUUUAGAACGUCGUGAGACAGUUCGGUCCCUAUCUGCCGUGGGCGUUGGAAGAUUGAAAGGGGCUGCUCCUAGUACGAGAGGACCGGAGUGGACGCACCACUGGUGUUCGGGUUGUCAUGCCAAUGGCACUGCCCGGUAGCUAAGUGCGGAAGAGAUAACCGCUGAAAGCAUCUAAGCGGGAAACUUGCCUUGAGAUGAGUCUUCCCUGACUCUUUAAGGGUCCUAAAGGAACGUUUAAGACUAAGACGUUGAUAGGCUGGGUGUGUAAGCGUAGCGAUACGUUGAGCUAACCAGUACUAAUGAACCGUGAGGCUUAACCUG